UACGGGGGGGGACUAACGUUAUUCAUCAUAACUGGGCGUAAAGGGUACGUAGGCUGCUUUUUAAGUCUUUAUUAAAGAAUCUAAGCUUAACUUAGAAAUUAAUUUUGAUACUGGAAAGCUUGGAGGUCGGUAGAGGUUAGUUAUAAUUCUUGGAGUAAAAGUGAAAUCUUUAGAUACCGAGAGGAUAACCGUGAGGUUAAUACGACUUUCUGGAUCGAGCUGACGCUGAGGUACGAAGGCAUGGGUAUCAAACGGGAUUAGAUACCCCGUGUAAGUCCGA
rnacentral:rRNA from 1 species